GACGAACGCUGGCGGCGUGCCUAAUACAUGCAAGUCGAGCGAAUUUUUGGGAGCUUGCUCCCAAAAAUUAGCGGCGGACGGGUGAGUAACACGUGGGCAACCUGCCUAUAAGACUGGGAUAACUUCGGGAAACCGGAGCUAAUACCGGAUAAUUCAUAUCUCCUCAUGUAGAUAUGCUGAAAGACGGUUUACGCUGUCACUUAUAGAUGGGCCCGCGGCGCAUUAGCUAGUUGGUGAGGUAACGGCUCACCAAGGCCACGAUGCGUAGCCGACCUGAGAGGGUGAUCGGCCACACUGGGACUGAGACACGGCCCAGACUCCUACGGGAGGCAG
rnacentral:rRNA from 1 species